rnacentral:rRNA from 1 species
AUUGAACGCUGGCGGCAGGCCUAACACAUGCAAGUCGAACGGAGCGGCGGACGGGUGAGUAAUGCCUAGGAAUCUGCCUGGUAGUGGGGGAUAACGUCAGGCAACGGGCGCUAAUACCGCAUACUAUCAGAUAAGCCUAGGUCGGAGUAGCUAGUUGGUGGGGUAAAGGCCUCCCAAGGCGACGAACCGUAACUGGGCUGAGAGGAUGAUCCGUCACACUGGAACGGAGACACGGUCCAGACUCCUACGGUAGGCAGCAGUGGGGAAUAUUGGACUAUGGGCGAAAGCCGGAUCCAGCCAUGCCGCGUGUGUGAAGAAGGUUUUCGGAUUGUAAAGCACUUUAAGUUGGGAGGCGUUACCAACAGAAUAAGCACCGGCUAACUUCGUGCCAGCCGCCGCGGUAAUUC